UGUAGAAGUGAUGAGUUGUGAUUACCGCCCCAGUCUGAUGUCAGGUGACUGAGUGGUACCCCUCUGAUCUACG